UACAGAGGGUGCGAGCGUUGUCCGGAAUCACUGGGCGUAAAGGGCGCGUAGGCGGCCUGAUACGUAGGGGGUGAAAUCCUGUGGCUCAACUGCAGGGCUGCCUCCUAGACUGUCGGGCUUGAGCACGGUAGAGGCAGAUGGAAUUCCCGGUGUAGCGGUGGAAUGCGUAGAUAUCGGAAGGAACAUCAGUGGCGAAAGCGACUUCCUGGACCAAUACUGACGCUCAUGUGCGAAAGCGUGGGGAGCAAACAGG
rnacentral:rRNA from 1 species